GGAUCCCAGACUUUGAUUCUGGCUCCAGGAUGAACGCUAGCUACAGGCUUAACACAUUGCAAGUCGAGGGGGAAACGACAUCGAAAGCUUGCUUUUGAUGGGCGUCGACCGGCGCACGGGUGAGUAACGCGUAUCCAACCUGCCCACCACUUGGGGAUAACCUUGCGAAAGUAAGACUAAAACCCAAUGACGUCUCUAGAAGACAUCUGAAAGAGAUUAAAGAUUUAUCGGUGAUGGAUGGGGAUGCGUCUGAUUAGCUUGUUGGCGGGGUAACGGCCCACCAAGGCAACGAUCAGUAGGGGUUCUGAGAGGAAGGUCCCCCACAUUGGAACUGAGACACGGUCCAAACUCCUACGGGAGGCAGCAGUGAGGAAUAUUGGUCAAUGGACGAGAGUCUGAACCAGCCAAGUAGCGUGCAGGAUGACGGCCCUAUGGGUUGUAAACUGCUUUUAUAAGGGAAUAAAGUGAGUCUCGUGAGACUUUUUGCAUGUACCUUAUGAAUAAGGACCGGCUAAUUCCGUGCCAGCAGCCGCGGUAAUACGGAAGGUCCGGGCGUUAUCCGGAUUUAUUGGGUUUAAAGGGAGCGUAGGCCGGAGAUUAAGCGUGUUGUGAAAUGUAGACGCUCAACGUCUGCACUGCAGCGCGAACUGGUUUUCCUUGAGUACGCACAAAGUGGGCGGAAUUCGUGGUGUAGCGGUGAAAUGCUUAGAUAUCACGAAGAACUCCGAUUGCGAAGGCAGCUCACUGGAGCGCAACUGACGCUGAAGCUCGAAAGUGCGGGUAUCGAACAGGAUUAGAUACCCUUGGUAGUCCGCACGGUAAACGAUGGAUGCCCGCUGUUGGUCUGAAUAGGUUCAGCGGCCAAGCGAAAGCAUUAAGCAUCCCACCUGGGGAGUACGCCAGUCAACGGUGAAACUCAAAUGAAUUGAACGG
rnacentral:rRNA from 1 species